rnacentral:rRNA from 1 species
UACGGGGGGGGCAAGCGUUGUUCGGAAUUACUGGGCGUAAAGGGCGCGUAGGCGGCCCUCUAAGUCAGACGUGAAAUCCCUGGGCUCAACCCAGGAACUGCGUCCGAUACUGGUUGGCUUGAAUCCGGGAGAGGGACGUGGAAUUCCAGGUGUAGCGGUGAAAUGCGUAGAUAUCUGGAAGAACACCGGUGGCGAAGGCGACGUCCUGGACCGGCAUUGACGCUGAGGCGCGAAAGCCAGGGGAGCAAACGGG